GAUGAACGCUGGCGGCGUGCCUAAUACAUGCAAGUCGAGCGGACGGACGAGAAGCUUGCUUCUCUGAUGUUAGCGGCGCACGGGUGAGUAACACGUGGAUACCCUACCUCUAAGACUGGGAUACCUUCGGGACACCGGCGCUAAUACCGGAUGAUAUUUUGCACCGCGUGGUUCAGAAGUGAAAGACGGUCUUGCUGUCACUUAUAGAUGCAUCCGCGCUGCUCUAGCUAGUUGGUCGGGUAACGGCCUCCCUAGGUAACGAUGCGUAGCCGACGGGAGAGCGUGAUCGCCCACACUGGAACGGGGACACGGUCAAGACUCCUACGGGAGGCAGCAGUAGGGAACCGUCCGCAAUGGGGGAAAGCAUGACGGAGCAGCGCCGCGCGAGUGAUGAAGACCUUCGGAUCGUAAAACUCUGUUAUUAGGUAAGAACAUAUGUGGAAGUAAAUGUGCAGAUCGUGACGGUACCUAAUCAGAAAGCCACGGCUAACUACGUG
rnacentral:rRNA from 1 species